GGACUACUGGGGUAUCUAAUCCUGUUUGCUCCCCACGCUUUCGCACCUCAGCGUCAGUACCGAUCCAGUGGGCCGCCUUCGCCACCGGUGUUCUUCCUAAUAUCUACGAAUUUCACCUCUACACUAGGAAUUCCACCCACCUCUAUCGGACUCAAGAUUCGCAGUAUCAAAGGCAGUUCCGAGGUUGAGCCCCGGGAUUUCACCCCUGACUUACAAAUCCGCCUACGUGCGCUUUACGCCCAGUGAUUCCGAACAACGCUAGUCCCCUUCGUAUUACCGCGGCUGCUGGCAC
rnacentral:rRNA from 1 species